rnacentral:rRNA from 1 species
CCUACGGGUGGCAGCAGUGAGGAAUAUUGGUCAAUGGGCGAGAGCCUGAACCAGCCAAGUCGCGUGAAGGAUGACGGCCCUACGGGUUGUAAACUUCUUUUGUCAGGGAGCAAUUGAGUCACCGUGUGGGCUUAGCGAGAGUACCUGAAGUAAAAGCAUCGGCUAACUCCGUGCCAGCAGCCGCGGUAAUACGGAGGAUGCGAGCGUUAUGCGGAUUUAUUGGGUUUAAAGGGUGCGUAGGCGGAAUAUCAAGUCAGCGGUAAUAAUUCGGGGCUCAAUCCCGUCGUGCCGUUGAAACUGAUGUUCUUGAGUGGGCAAGAAGUAUGAGGAAUGCGUGGUGUAGCGGGGAAAUGCAUAGAUAUCACACAGAACUCCGAUUGCGAAGGCAGCAUACCGGCGCCCAACUGACGCUGAAGCACGAAAGCGUGGGUAUCGUACAGGAUUAGAUACCCGUGUAGUC